rnacentral:rRNA from 1 species
UACGAAGGGGGCUAGCGUUGCUCGGAAUCACUGGGCGUAAAGCGCACGUAGGCGGACUCUUAAGUCGGUGGUGAAAUCCUGGAGCUCAACUCCAGAACUGCCUUCGAUACUGAGAGUCUUGAGUCCGGGAGAGGUGAGUGGAACUGCGAGUGUAGAGGUGAAAUUCGUAGAUAUUCGGAAGAACACCAGUGGCGAAGGCGGC